AAGAGGAGGCAAAGCUGAGGUGACGUCAAAGGGCUGUUUUCUGUUUGGAUCAACAUGAGUGACCAGCGUGCACUUUCUGGGGAGGCCUGAACCCAGGAGAGAACUGUCCAGCUGUCUGUGCUCUAAUGGGAACCAUAGAAGUCUCCAGAAAGCCUCCGACCUGCUCUCUUCUCACUCUGGCUCUGUUUCCUUCUUUGGUGAGAAGAGACACAGGACAGACAGCAGCAGAGCAGCACAGGGACGUGCAGGUGUGGGUGUGUGUGCAGGAAUGUUCAUGUACAAUCCACACUGCUACAAGGAGUAGGCAGAGAAAGGUGUCCAGGAGAAGAAAAGAAACGGGGAUUGAAGCUGCAUAAGAAAAUACUCUGGGC